GAACUUGGGAUUUGGGUAGUGAAGCACCCAGAGCCAGUCCCAGUCCCAGUCUCAUUGGGCUCACUUGUUUGGAUUUACCAAGGACAGAGUCAGUCUUUCUUUGUACCUACUGAUGUGAGGAUUGCCAAUUGACAGGAAAGUUCUGAAGAGGGAACUUUCCUGAGAAAGAAGGUAUUGGCUCAUCACCAGCUCCUGACAACUUCACAUAUUUGGCCAAAGAGACCAGAUCUGAGACAGGACAGGCCACUGCUCGGGAAUAUAGUAUGGCCCACCAGUCAGAGGACACUCCAGAUAGUCAAAGAUGUACUUGGGGCCUCAGAUCAGUCUCCUACUGAUCUUGCAGGUUUCUUUCAUUUGCAUUUCAACAUAAAUCCUGGAUGAGGUCUGGAAGAAGCAGGGAUAAACUGCAAUUCUGAGCAGACACCUCAGGCCUAAAGCAUUUUAGCCAAAUUCUGCCAUAGAAGGAAGGAAUUUCCUGAAUAAAUUAAAAAUAGGACAUGUAUCCUGAUAAACCCAGGAAUGUGUAUAUUUGAAACAUUGGCUUGUAUUCCCACAUUGGCUUUCAAUGAAGUGAUGAGAAUUGAACCCAGGGCCUUGUGCAUGUGAAAGCAAGUACAGUACCAACGGAGCUAUAUCACCAGACCCCAAACAUUGCAUUUUAAAAGUGCUUCAAUAAAAGAAAGAAGACACAU